rnacentral:lncRNA from 1 species
AUGCGGCUGUCCUGCGUCUCCAGAGGAGGCCAGCCCCAGCCCAGCGGUCUGGAGUGGCAGACCCCCAACGGAACUGUGAUCCCUGCAGAAGAAGCACCGCCGGCCGCCUCCUCAGACAGCGACGGCCGCUACUCCAUCAGUCAGACGGUGAAGGUGACCGAGCCAGGCAGCUACACCUGUCUGGCCCGGCAGCAAGGCGUCCACCCUGCGGUCAGAGACACCAUCCAAGUGUUUGGCCAUUGGUUGACCGGCGAUCAUGAAGAGGUCCUCGGGAAUGGUACAUGGAAGGCCAUAGGUGUUUCUUUUAUUAUUGUUUUUGUUCUCUUGAUUUUAUCAUUUGGAGUUAAUAUUUACCAAUUUACCAAAACUAAAAACUGUAGGAAUGGUCAUGGUCAACAAGCAGAACCUGAUUCUGAUAGUUUGGAUCGAAGCGGUGCCUAUUUGUCCUGUCCCCGUCGUGAUGCUGCUGUACAGCUGAACGUACCGUCUUUCGGUUGAGCGACGGACACUUUGGUCAUCUGAAGGUGUGCAUUUGUAUCGCAACAGUUUACUUUUGAUACAACAUUUCUACGAGAGAGCAGUUAUUUAUAUUAGUUAUGGAACAUGGAAACAACCUCAAAUGGCUGUUUCAGGUUAUGGGUUCCUCAGGAGCAUCUCUUCAUGGUGCUCCACCUAGAUCACUCAGGUCCUCUGGCACUGGCCUCUUAGUUACCUAUGGCCCCCCCCCCUCUGGAACAGCCUGCCAGAGGAGCUGAGUACGUCACAAUCUGUUAACACAUUUAAAGGUCCCAUGGCAUGAACAUUUUUCUAACAUUAACAUGAGUUCCCCUAGCCUGCCUAUGGUGCCCCAGUAUCUAGAAAUGGCGUUAGGUGUAAAACGAGCACUAGGUAUUCUGCUCCGCCUAUUGAAAAAUGAAAACUCAGACGCUCAGAUUUUGGCCCCAUAUGUCUUCAUAAGGGGCCAAGUUACCUCCCCUUUCUCUGCCUUGCCCGCCCAGAAAAUUUGGCCCGCCAAUGAGAGCUAUGACCGACACAAUAAUGUCUAUAUUGCACACAUCCUCCAUGAUGUAAACACUGUGUAUUUUGAGUAUCUGUAAUUUAAGUAUAUGCAUGAUACUUGGAUUUUUGUAAUUUUUAUAAAUAGUGCACAUUUUACUUUUUAUAGUACUUUUAUCGUCUAACAUUUGAUAUGUAUAGAUAUUUUGUAUUUAACGUUUUACACUUAUUAUAUUAUAUAUUAUACUAUAUACCUGACCUUUUUACUUAUUUAAUAAUGCUAUUUACUUUAUGGUUCACCUGCUUUUGCAAUGCAAAUGUUUAUUUCUCAUGCCAAUAAAG